GGCUAUGAAGGCAAUCUAGCUGCAGCAUCUGUCCUCUCAUUAACUGCCAGGGUUGAUUCUGCUGCUUUGACUGCCUAGGCUGGGUGUACCCUUCCUCCCUCAGUGGCUCCAUGUGUAUUGUCCCUCCCAAAGCUGCACACCCAGCUGUAGAGGGCAACCUCACCAAUAGAUUUUUUGCUGGAAAGUGGCCCAGCAGAGAAGGAUCUUUGAGUGCU
rnacentral:snRNA from 1 species